rnacentral:tRNA from 2 species
UAAAAGAUAAGCUAAUAAAGCUAGCGGGUUCAUACCUCGCCUAUGAACUACCUCUCUUUUAA